AUUUAAUGAUGAUAUUCAUCCCAGUUCUGCUACUGAAAAUCAAUGUAGAGAAUCAAAAUACCAAAACCCACUGAGAA